ACUGUCGCUAAUUAUUGUUACUCUUAAUAGUUAUUGUUAUAACUAUAAUUAUUAUAUUCAUAGAGUUUUGAUAAUUAUUGAUUGCUGUAAAUAAAAUUUAAGUUGGAUGAUUUUAAUUGUAAUUAUCAACUAAAAUAUAGUUUGGUAAACUCAAGAAGUUGAAGGUGUAAUUAAGAAUAUAAAGUCUUUUCUUGGAUUAUAUAGAUAAAAUUUAUGUACAAAAGUUUAUGAUAUAUAAAAGCUUUGUUUGAUUAAUUUAUAUAAAUUUAUUUUCUUAGUUGUUUGUUUUCAUCCUCUAUUGAAGAUAAAUUGGUUGUUGAAAAAGAAGCCAUUUAAUCAAAAAUAAGCUCUCUAUAGUCAGGUACCAAGUAUAUUUUUAGAUAGAAAAUACGUAUUAUGACACCAUUGGUUGUCAAAGUUGGUCUUUUCUUGCAUUAAUACUAAUUCAUUAAGAUAGCCUAUUUUUUCCAAUCACAUUCAAACCCGAGACACUCA
rnacentral:lncRNA from 1 species